rnacentral:rRNA from 1 species
UACGAAGGGGGCUAGCGUUGCUCGGAAUCACUGGGCGUAAAGGGCGCGUAGGCGGCCGAUCAAGUCAGGGGUGAAAGCCUGUGGCUCAACCACAGAAUUGCCUUUGAUACUGUUCGGCUCGAGACCGGAAGAGGUAAGUGGAACUGCGAGUGUAGAGGUGAAAUUCGUAGAUAUUCGCAAGAACACCAGUGGCGAAGGCGGCUUACUGGUCCGGUUCUGACGCUGAGGCGCGAAAGCGUGGGGAGCAACAGGG